UAUAACGAGAAUAACAGUCAAGUCAUUUAUUAAUAGAAAUGCCUAUUUACAGGUAUUACAUAGAGUCUCCCGAAAAAUCUAGAACAUCUAUCAAUACUAUAAUCUAUUCUAAUAAGGAAAUUAUUAGGUCAAGACACAUAACAGAAGAACAUGAAAGUAAUUUCCUUAAACAACAGUAUCAUUUCUGGAAUUGUACUCUUCCACGAUGGGAUAAUUCAAAGUGUUUGGUAAACAACUUUCCUCUACUUUCUCAACCUGACAAUCAUAGAAAUUAAGCUUCACAUAGAAUUUUUUUUUCCUAUACGAGUCACAUAGUAUGCAUAAUAAGAGCGUCAGAUUUCAGGAAGGCGAAACAUGAGGGAAGGUCUAUAGUGUGGAUCUGUGAUGGUGUGAUUCAAAUACCAAGUGUAAUCCAAGGAUAGAAAAACUAAUAACAAGAAAAAUAGCUUUCAUGUUAAUCACAUGCUACCUGUUCAAGCUCAAUUUUAAAUGUGUGAGUUUCUAUUGCUUGAGCUGCAGCUGCCAAUUCUGCUUCAUUUAGCAAACCACUAGAACCGGCUCCAAUUCACCUAAGGUUUUUCUAAUUGUAAAUCCACCAUUUCCAUUAGCACCCUAUAAAAGAACUAUGUAAGAAAUUGUGUCCAUAAGGGGAAAACCUAGAGAAAUAGCAUUUACUCAAUGGUAAAAUUUGUGUGUGAAUGCAUUCAAGGCAAAAAUUAAAAAUAACUUCAUACAAAGAGCUAGCAAAACACAAGUAAUAUGCAAAACACAAGUAAUAUGCAAAACACAAUAUCAGCUAUUAGAUAUCAUUUCCGAGACCUAUUUCUCUUGGUUAGACACAGGGCAGCUUUCCCAGCCCUCACCACUAAGCCAGAGCAUCUUCUUCUUACAACCCCAAUAUUAGAGCUCAAAUCAGUCCCAAAGACUAACAUGCAAAUUAAAGAUAACAGGUACAUCAAUUAUCACACAUCAAACCAUAGACUAUAUUGGCUAUUUAGCUCAACUUCCAGGCUCCAGCAACCAAAUAGAUCCAUUGCCUUGUUAAGAGUAAUAGGAGAAAAAACUGAACAACAACUUAGUAAUCCGAAAUUACAGUACCCACUAAAGAUAACUGAACAAUGUAAAAUCACUCACCUCUGGGAAUGGGAAAUUACCAUAGUACCCGUUCUUCUUGAGCAAAGCUUCACUUUGACAUGGCAUCUCCUUUGGGUUUCUGUAACAAAAAAAUAAU
rnacentral:lncRNA from 1 species